rnacentral:rRNA from 1 species
UUGGAGGGCAAGUCUGGUGCCAGCAGCCGCGGUAAUUCCAGCUCCAAUAGCGUAUAUUAAAGUUGUUGCAGUUAAAAAGCUCGUAGUUGAAUUUCGGGAUCAAAUUGUUGGUCGUGCUUCGGUACGCACUGGCAUUAUUGGUUCCUACCUUCUGAAGAACCGCGAUGUCAUUAAUUUGGUGUCGUGGGGAAUCAGGACUGUUACUUUGAAAAAAUUAGAGUGUUUAAAGCAGGCUUACGCUUGAAUACAUUAGCACGGAAUAAUGAAAUAGGACGUUUGAUUCUAUUUUGUUGGUUUCUAGGAUCGACGUAAUGAUUAAUAGGGAUAGUUGGGGGCAUUAGUAUUCGAUUGUCAGAGGUGAAAUUCUUGGAUUUAUUGAAGACUAACUACUGCGAAAGCAUUUGCCAAGGAUGUUUUCAUUAAUCAAGAACGAAAGUUAGGGGAUCGAAGACGAUCAGAUACCGUCGUAGUCUUAACCAUAAACUAUGCCGACUAGGGAUCGGAUGAUGUUAAUUUUUUAAUGACUCAUUCGGCGCCUUACGGGAAAC